rnacentral:rRNA from 1 species
CCCUUAGAUGUUCUGGGCCGCACGCGUGCUACACUGAGUGGAUCAGCGGGUCAGGUUGCGCGAAAGUGUUUCCUAAUCUUGAAAUCCGCUCGUGAUGGGGAUUGACGGUUGCAAUUUUCCGUCAUGAACGAGGAAUACCUUGUAAGCGCGGGUCAUCAUCCCGCGCUGAAUACGUCCCUGCCCUUUGUACACACCGCCCGUCGCUCCUACCGAUUGAGUGGUCCGGUGGGGCUUUGGGAUCUGAGCAAAAAGAGCGUUUCGCUCGUUUGGCUCGGAAAACUCAGUCGAACCUUAUCAUUUAGAGGAAGGAGAAGUCGUAACA